GCCCAGGCUCUAGUUCAAUGACUACCCGACCAUGCCACACCAACAAAACAAAGCAUUUGAGAUGGUAAGUAAGUGAGACAGAAAACCGCAUAGACACAAUAGAUGUAGUACCGUAAGGGAAGGACCCCAAAGCACUAAAAAGCAAAGAUAAACCCUUGUACCUUUAGCAUCAUGGUUUAGCAAGACCACACAAAGCAAUGAGACCACAAGCUUUGAACCCCGAAACCCGACGAGCUACCUCUCAACAAACCCGUCCCUGUGGCAAAAGGGUGGGAAGAUUGGGCGGUAGAGGUGAAAAGCCUAUCGAGCCGGGCGAUAGCUGGCUGACUAUAAGCGAACAUUAGUUCUACCUUAGGAAAAACAAAACAACCAGUACAACUGGUUGACUAAGGGCACUCAUUAGGGGUACAGCUCUAAUGAAAUGGGAUACAGCCCAAACCUGAGAGACAAAACCAACGUUUAGCCAGUGGGCCCUGAAGCAGCCACCAACAGAUACAGCGUUAAAGCGAACUAUCAAAAAUACUACCACACGCAACCACCUCCAGCAAGAAUUUAGUCAACCCUAUUAAAAUAGGAGGGCCAAUGCUAAAACUACUAAUAAGAAACAAUCUCUAAGCGUAGCCGUCAAUCGGAACGGACUAACCCACCGAUAGUUAUCAGACACAGACCAACGAAACACACCACCAACUGCUAUAAGCUGUGGCACCAACACAGGCACGCCAAAAAGAAAGACUAAAAGCCAUAAAAGGAACUCGGCAAUCACUAACUCCAACUGUUUACCAAAAACAUAACCUCUAGCCAACCAAGUAUUAAAGGCACCGCCUGCCCGGUGAGAAAUAGCUUCUUAAACGGCCGCGGUAUCCUAACCGUGCGAAGGUAGCAUAAUCACUUGCCCACUAAUUAUGGGCUAGAAUGAAAGGCUAAAUGAGAGUUAAACUGUCUCUUGUGGCCAGCCAAUGAAACUGAUCUUACAGUCAAAAAGCUGUAAUAACAAUAUAAGACGAGAAGACCCUGUGAAACUUCAAUUAGCCUGAUCAAAAGGACCAGGUAGUUUCAGUUGGGGCAACUUUGGAAAAAACACAACUUCCAAACAACACGGCAAGCGCCAUAGACAGGCCAACACGCCUAUAAUACGACCCAGACACAAAAUCUGAUAAAUGAACCAAGCUACUCCAGGGAUAACAGCGCCAUCUUCUUCAAGAGCCCAUAUCAAAAAGAAGGUUUACGACCUCGAUGUUGGAUCAGGGCACCCUAGCGGCGCAGCCACUGCUAAGGGUUCGUUUGUUCAACGAUUAACAGC
rnacentral:rRNA from 1 species